rnacentral:rRNA from 1 species
UACGAAGGGGGCUAGCGUUGUUCGGAAUCACUGGGCGUAAAGCGCACGUAGGCGGAUUGUUAAGUCGGGGGUGAAAUCCUGAGGCUCAACCUCAGAACUGCCUUCGAUACUGGCAAUCUCGAGUCCGGAAGAGGUUGGUGGAACAGCUAGUGUAGAGGUGAAAUUCGUAGAUAUUAGCUAGAGCACCAGUGGCGAAGGCGGCCAACUGGUCCGGCACUGACGCUGAGGUGCGAAAGCGUGGGGAGCAAACAGG